AGGCCCUGGAGCGCGGCAGUGAUGGCGGGGCCGGUGAAGGACCGCGAGGCCUUCCAGAGGCUCAACUUCCUGUACCAGGUGAGUCUGCGACAAGGGCCCCACGGGGACGGUGCUCGGCGUCCCAGAGUGACUGCUCCCUUCCCGCAGGCCGCCCAUUGUGUCCUUGCCCAGGACCCCGAGAACCAGGCGCUGGCGAGGUUUUACUGCUACACUGAGAGGACCAUUGCGAAGCGGCUCGUCUUGCGGCGGCUGCAGGGGACAGCGCUGGACCGUACAGACCUGCCUAACAUGCCAGCGCAGCCAACGCUUCCUCAAUGAUCCCGGGCAUUUACUCUGGGGAGACAGGCCUGAGGCCCAGCUCGGGAGCCAAGCAGAUUCCAAACCACUACAACCCUUGCCAAACACAGCCCACUCCAUUUCAGACCGCCUCCCUGAGGAGAAAAUGCAGACUCAGGGUUCCAGUAACCAGUGAUGGAUUCACCCCAUCUCCCAAAUAAAGUUUACUUGUUUUACAUUCCA
rnacentral:sRNA from 1 species